rnacentral:rRNA from 1 species
UACGGGGGGGGGCAAGCGUUUGUUCGGAAUUACUGGGCGUAAAGGGCUCGUAGGCGGCCAACUAAGUCAGACGUGAAAUCCCUCGGCUUAACCGGGGAACUGCGUCUGAUACUGGAUGGCUUGAAUCCGGGAGAGGGAUGCGGAAUUCCAGGUGUAGCGGUGAAAUGCGUAGAUAUCUGGAGGAACACCGGUGGCGAAGGCGGGUCUCUGGGCCGAUAUUGACGCUGAGGAGCGAAAGCGUGGGGAGCGAACAGG